GAUGAAGAACGUAGCGAAAUGCGAUAAGUAAUGUGAAUUGCAGAAUUCAGUGAAUCAUCGAAUCUUUGAACGCACCUUGCACCCUUUGGACUGCUCCAAAGGGUAUGCUCGUUUGAGUGUCAUUGUACUCUCACACUCUCUGAUCCUUUGGAUUUGGGGAGCAGUGGACUUGGGUGCUUGCUGCUUCCUUGUGGCUCACCUGAAAUGCAUCAGUGCAUCUCUCGAUUGGACAUAGUACGGCGUGAUAAGUGUCUUCGCCGGCACCUCAUAUGAGGGUGGCCGAUCGGGAGCUCUGUGCUUUCAAACCGUCUUCGGACAACGCUGACAACUUGACCUCAAAUCGAGUAGGACUACCCGCUGAACUUAAGCAUAUCAUAAGCGGAGGA
rnacentral:misc_RNA from 1 species